rnacentral:rRNA from 1 species
CAGCCGCCGCGGGAAUACCAGCACCUCGAGUGGUCAGGAGGUUUAUUGGGCCUAAAGCAUCCGUAGCCGGUUGCAUAAGUUUUCGGUUAAAUCUAUGCGCUUAACGUAUAGGCCGCCGAAAAUACUGUGCAGCUAGGGAGUGGGAGAGGUACACGGUACUCGAUAGGAAGGGGUAAAAUCCUUUGAUCUAUUGAUGACCACCUGUGGCGAAGGCGGUGUACCAGAACACGUUCGACGGUGAGGGAUGAAAGCUGGGGGAGCAAACCGGAUUAGAGACCCCCGUAGUCCCUGUCUCUUAUAC